GGGGGGGGGGGGGGGGGGGCGGGGGGCAGGGGGGGCGGAGGGCGGCACGGUGGGGGCGUGCGCUGACGGGUGGCGAGGGGCGGACGGGUGAGGAAUACAUCGGAAUCUACUUUUUCGUGGGGGAGGGCGUAGGGAGACGUACGCUAAUACCGCAUACGACCUACGGGUGAAAGCAGGGGAUCUUCGGACCUUGCGCGAGUGAAUGAGCCGAUGUCGGAUUAGCUAGUUGGCGGGGUAAAGGCCCACCAAGGCGACGAUCCGUAGCUGGUCUGAGAGGGUGAUCGGCCACACUGGAACUGAGACACGGUCCAGACUCCUACGGGAGGCAGCAGUGGGGAAUAUUGCGCAAUGGGCGAAAGCCUGACGGAGCCAUGCCGCGUGGGUGAAGAAGGUCUUCGGAUCGUAAAACCCUUUUAUUAGGGAAGAACAAAUGUGUAAGUAACUAUGCACGUCUUGACGGUACCUAAUCAGAAAGCCACGGCUAACUACGUG
rnacentral:rRNA from 1 species